rnacentral:rRNA from 1 species
AUUGAACGCUGGCGGCAGGCCUAACACAUGCAAGUCGAACGAGUGGCGGACGGGUGAGUAAUGUCUGGGAAACUGCCUGAUGGAGGGGGAUAACUACUGGAAACGGUAGCUAAUACCGCAUACCAGCGGAUGUGCCCAGAUGGGAUUAGCUAGUAGGUGGGGUAAAGGCGCACCUAGGCGACGAUCCCUAGCUGGUCUGAGAGGAUGACCAGCCACACUGUAACUGAGACACGUUCCAGAAUCCUACGGGUGGCAGCAGUGGGGAGUAUUGCACAAGGGGCGCAAGCCUUAUGCAGCCAUGCCGCGUGUAUGAAGGAGGCCUUCGGGUUGUAAAGUACUUUCAGCGGGGAGGCGUUACCCGCAGAAUAAGGACCGGCUAACUUCGUGCCAGCAGCCGCGGUAAUUC